rnacentral:tRNA from 1 species
UUAGGCGUCGUUUCCCCGAGAAAUUUGACUGUUAAUCAAUUCGUCGCAGGUUCGAAUCCUGCCGCCGGAG